rnacentral:misc_RNA from 1 species
UUGAUUAAACUUGGGUUAGGUUGCUGCUGGCUCUUAGGGGCAUGUGCACGCCUAAUUCCAUCUUUAACCCCCUGUGCACCUUGUGUAGAACUGAGGAACGUUUCGAGGACCCCCUCGGUCAGAGAACUGCUGUGUCGCGAGGCCAGCUUUUCUUGUUACCUCAGAUCUACGUCUUCUACAUACCCUUUCAAAUGAAUGUAUUUGAAUGUCAUAUGAUAAACUUUAUA